rnacentral:rRNA from 1 species
CCUACGGGAGGCAGCAGUGAGGAAUAUUGGUCAAUGGGCGCGAGCCUGAACCAGCCAAGUCGCGUGAGGGAGGACGGCCCUACGGGUUGUAAACCUCUUUUGCCGGGGAGCAACGGGCGUCACGUGUGGCGCCACUGAGAGUACCCGGAGAAAAAGCAUCGGCUAACUCCGUGCCAGCAGCCGCGGUAAUACGGAGGAUGCGAGCGUUAUCCGGAUUUAUUGGGUUUAAAGGGUGCGUAGGCGGAUCGUUAAGUCAGUGGUCAAAUUGAGGGGCUCAACCCCUUCCCGCCAUUGAAACUGGCGCUCUUGAGUGGAAGAGAAGUAUGCGGAAUGCGUGGUGUAGCGGUGAAAUGCAUAGAUAUCACGCAGAACCCCGAUUGCGAAGGCAGCAUGCCGGCUUCCGACUGACGCUGAAGCACGAAAGCGUGGGGAUCGAACAGGAUUAGAUACCCCAGUAGUC